CAUACACACACACACACACACACACACACAUUUAUGAACUUCGUUUUCCUCUCAAUCUUUUCUAUCGAGGAGCGUAGGCUCGAAAUGUCAACGACUCUUCCAAUCUUCCCGAGGAUCAAACUAUUACACCUGUUUGUUUUCGUUCACUCGCCUAUCUUCGUCUUUUGUUUUCUGUAAAUUUGAACUACAUACAUAUAUACAUACGUACAUAAUACAUACAUACAUACAUACAUACAUACAAGCAUGUAACAUAUGUGUGUGUGUGUGUGUUUGUGUAUACAUACUCGUACUUACAUAAAGAUAUGUGCUCACGCACACACACACACACACACGCACGCAAUGUCAUUUAUAAGACGCAAGCCUCAUUUUCAUAGUUAUAACUCAUCUUUUUGAGACUUAAUUACCUAUUGCUUCAAACCACAUCUAGUUUAUGUAACUGACACAAAACCAGACUAUUUUCUUAAAACAGCAACCAAUUUUCCAGUCAUGACCAUCCUCUACUAAAAACAAAUCAUCUUUCCUAUAUCACUACAAAUGCAAAUCGACCUCGAUUUGGCUGCUAUUUCAUGUGCGUCACAGAAAGGGACCAGUCAUUUGACUGCGACCAUGCUGGAGCACCGCCUUUUAGUCGAACAAAUCCACCCAAGGGAAUUCUUUUUUCCGUCUACCAUAUCGACUGACAAGGCUUUGGUCGGCCCGAAGCUAUAGUAGAAGACACUAAUCCAAGGUGCCAUGCAGUGGGACUG